GUUCUGGAGCCACGCCACACCCCCAGUGGAGGCAUCGAGGACGCUUAGAAAACCGUGAAGGUGACAUCCUUAUACACAGGCACGGCACGGAUCAUCGCCGAAUGAACAACGUUAUUGAAAAUGCCCUGCGGGAGACACCCAUCACACUCGUGGUCUGCGGGCUGAUGGGGAUGCUAGGCGUUAUGUCAUCAUUGGAGGUGAUUCAUCCUCUCUACUUGCUGCUUAGCCCGUCGUUGGUGCUCAAAGAGCAUCAGUACUGGCGCUUGGUCACAAACUUCCUCUACUUUGGUCCAAUCAGCGCUCACUGCAUCAUGGAAAUUCAGUGGAUCUACCUGGUGAGCUCUUACCUUGAAUCGCAGUAUUACCACAGGCGACCGCUUGACUACAUCUUCCUACUCUUGAUCAUCGGCUGCUCGCUUUUGGGCCUGCGGUUUUCGUCGAUUGUGAAUGUGCCAUACCUAAGCUACAUGCUAGGCACGUGCCUGACAUACAUUAUGAGUCGUCUGUUCAACGACAUGGAAGUUGCCAUCUUUUUCGUGGUUCCGGUUCCAAUGCGCCUUCUCCCGUUUGUGCUUCUGAUCAUGAACACAAUGGUAUCUGGAAUGACGAACGAGGUCCUGGGCAAUGUUCUCGGGCACAUCUUAUGGUAUUUUUUAGAGGUGUUUCCCCGCAUCACCGGGCAGAGCCCUCUUCGAAUCCAGCGUGUGUUCGAGCGGGCAUUUGCUGCACCGGUACGUCAGGCGACAUAGUUUGGUCAUGGGCUCAGACAACAACAAAAGUAGUAAAUCACUGGGCUCCUCUCCCUCAGUUUUG
rnacentral:misc_RNA from 1 species